CAACCCUCAGGCCCGGCCUGGCGUUGGGGUCCUGCGCUGCAGGCUCCGAAAGACAGCGGCGGGUGCGUCCCACGACCGAACGCAGUAGUUACCUCUCGUUCUGGGCGCGGGCGCACGCCGGCCGGAAAACAACCCACCUUCUCA
rnacentral:misc_RNA from 1 species